GACGAACGCUGGCGGCGUGCUUAACACAUGCAAGUCGAACGGAAAGGCCCUGCUUUUGUGGGGUGCUCGAGUGGCGAACGGGUGAGUAACACGUGAGUAACCUGCCCUUGACUUUGGGAUAACUUCAGGAAACUGGGGCUAAUACCGGCUAGGAGCUCUUGCUGCAUGGUGGGGGUUGGAAAGUUUCGGCGGUUGGGGAUGGACUCGCGGCUUAUCAGCUUGUUGGUGGGGUAGUGGCUUACCAAGGCUUUGACGGGUAGCCGGCCUGAGAGGGUGACCGGCCACAUUGGGACUGAGAUACGGCCCAGACUCCUACGGGAGGCAGCAGUGGGGAAUAUAACACAAUGGGCGGAAGCCUGAUGCAGCAACGCCGCGUGCGGGAUGACGGCCUUCGGGUUGUAAACCGCUUUCGCCUGUGACGAAGCGUGAGUGACGGUAAUGGGUAAAGAAGCACCGGCUAACUACGUG
rnacentral:rRNA from 1 species